GAACUUGAUGAGGUCCUGAAGGAGGCCCAGUACUACAGGGUCCAGGGGCUUAUCCAACACUGCCUCACUGCCAUGCAGAAGCAAAAGGACAUAUUUGAAAGUGUGUGUCGCAUCCCAAUGAUCACAUCAGCCAAAGAGGAGCAGAGGAUGAUUGCGACAUGCAGAAAGCCUGUGGUAAAAUUGCAAAACAACAGAGGAAAUAACAAGUACUCGUAUACCAGGUA